UCCCUGAUGGUCCAUCGGUCAGUACAUCCGGUGUGAUUCAGGUUGGACGUCGGUACCGUUCGCACUGGGUUCGACUCCCAGUCAGGGAA